rnacentral:rRNA from 1 species
CGGCGUGCCUAUACAUGCAAGUCGAGCGGACAGAAGGGAGCUUGCUCCCGGAUGUUAGCGGCGGACGGGUGAGUAACACGUGGGUAACCUGCCUGUAAGACUGGGAUAACUCCGGGAAACCGGAGCUAAUACCGGAUAGUUCCUUGAACCGCAUGGUUCAAGGAUGAAAGACGGUUUCGGCUGUCACUUACAGAUGGACCCGCGGCGCAUUAGCUAGUUGGUGAGGUAACGGCUCACCAAGGCGACGAUGCGUAGCCGACCUGAGAGGGUGAUCGGCCACACUGGGACUGAGACACGGCCCAGACUCCUACGGGAGGCAGCAGUAGGGAAUCUUCCGCAAUGGACGAAAGUCUGACGGAGCAACGCCGCGUGAGUGAUGAAGGUUUUCGGAUCGUAAAGCUCUGUUGUUAGGGAAGAACAAGUGCAAGAGUAACUGCUUGCACCUUGACGGUACCUAACCAGAAAGCCACGGCUAACUACGUGCCAGCAGCCGCGGUAAUACGUAGGUGGCAAGCGUUGUCCGGAAUUAUUGGGCGUAAAGGGCUCGCAGGCGGUUUCUUAAGUCUGAUGUGAAAGCCCCCGGCUCAACCGGGGAGGGUCAUUGGAAACUGGGAAACUUGAGUGCAGAAGAGGAGAGUGGAAUUCCACGUGUAGCGGUGAAAUGCGUAGAGAUGUGGAGGAACACCAGUGGCGAAGGCGACUCUCUGGUCUGUAACUGACGCUGAGGAGCGAAAGCGUGGGGAGC